GCCAUGGGAAAUGCUAAGAUUUCUUUCGUCUUGUGCAAAAUCCGUGGGUGAUGAUGGCUGAGAAUAGUCUGGGUUUUGUAUCAGGAUCUAAACAUGAGCCUAUGUGCUCGGUGCCUGAGUGGAGUCGAGCUUCCCAGCUGACUCCACUCAGGCAAUCAACCACCUCUACGGCUCCCGGACAGCUGACGAACAUCAUUCUGAUUACACACCUCUGCAAUAAGAACCGGCUCAUCCUUCCACUCUCUGCCAGAUCGUUGAACCAAGACACCACAUUCAGCUGUCCGGGAUCCCCGCCAUCCUCCUUCCCCUCCGGCUCUCCCCAGACCAUUCAUCACCGGUUUUUCCCUGCCUGGACCCCCCCCCGUUUCUGGCCAAACCCUCCCACUACACCAGCUGCUCCUGCACCCUGGAGUUCCCCCCCCACCGUGCCAUUAUUCACCCCCCCAACAA